rnacentral:rRNA from 1 species
AACGAACGCUGGCGGCAUGCCUGACACAUGCAAGUCGAACGAGACCUUCGGGUCUAGUGGCGCUCGGGUGCGUAACGCGUGGGAACCUGCCCUUAGGUUCGGAAUAACUCCCCGAAAGGGGUGCUAAUACCGGAUAAUGUCUUCGGACCAAAGAUUUAUCGCCUUUGGAUGGGCCCGCGUUGGAUUAGCUAGUUGGUAGGGUAAAAGCCUACCAAGGCGACGAUCCAUAGCUGGUCUGAGAGGAUGAUCAGCCACACUGGGACUGAGACACGGCCCAGACUCCUACGGGAGGCAGCAGUGGGGAAUAUUGGACAAUGGGCGAAAGCCUGAUCCAGCAAUGCCGCGUGAGUGAUGAAGGCCUUAGGGUUGUAAAGCUCUUUUACCCGGGAUGAUAAUGACAGUACCGGGAGAAUAAGCUCCGGCUAACUCCGUG